GACGAACGCUGGCGGCGUGCUUAACACAUGCAAGUCGAACGGUGAAGCGCCUUCCUUUUUGGUGGGUGUGGAUGAGUGGCGAACGGGUGAGUAACACGUGAGUAACCUGCCCCCUUCUUCUGGAUAACCGCAUGAAAGUGUGGCUAAUACGGGAUAUUCUGGGUCUGUCGCAUGAUGGGUCUGGGAAAGAUAUUGUUUCGGUGGGGGAUGGGCUCGCGGCCUAUCAGCUUGUUGGUGGGGUGAUGGCCUACCAAGGCGGUGACGGGUAGCCGGCCUGGGAGGGUGGACGGUCACACUGGGACUGAGACACGGCCCAGACUCCUACGGGAGGCAGCAGUGGGGAAUAUUGCACAAUGGGCGCAAGCCUGAUGCAGCGGCGCCGCGUGAGGGAUGGAGGCCUUCGGGUUGUGAACCUCUUUCGCCAGUGAAGCAGGCCUGCCUCGUUUGUGGGUGGGUUGACGGUAGCUGGAUAAGAAGCGCCGGCUAACUACGUG
rnacentral:rRNA from 1 species